AUACUCACCUGGAGGGAGAGAUAUCAUGAUCCUGAAGGCUUAUCCAUCACACUAUGGAUGUGCUGACUCCCAUGAUUUCCCCACAUGUGGGAAACUUUAAGGCAUAAUUUAUGGUAUUGGGGACUGCACUCUCCUACUCCUCC
rnacentral:snRNA from 1 species